ACCCUAAUCCCUUGCUCACUACUUGAUCUUAUCUGAGCAGCUACGCUUGCCCGGUCUCUCUGUCAGAGCUGCCUGAGAUGCUGCCCUUCCAGAAAUGAACGGCUUAGAUUCAUUGAUGAGGUUGGUGGCGUCCGCCAUGGCUGCCCGAGAGAAGGUCUGGGCAGGGGAUCCCGCUGCUGUGAAGACGGCCCGAGAUCAAUUCUUGGAACAUGGAGAACAUAUUAUCUUCAAGAACUUUCUUUUUGUAUUAUACAUCACACUAGAAUUAUUUACUACUCUUAUUGAUAUUUGUUUUGUUGUUGAGAAUAAUUUGUAUUAGAAUUCUAUUUACCACUCUUAUUGAUAUUUGUUUUGUUGUCGAGAAUAAUUUGUAUUGGAAUUCUCUUAUUGAGAAGUGUUGUUGAAAAUAAUGUUGUUUUUUUUUUGUA